rnacentral:rRNA from 1 species
GACGAACGCUGGCGGCGUGCUUAACACAUGAAAGUCGAACGAGUGGCGAACGGGUGAGUAAUACGUGAGUAACCUGCCCUCUUUUGGGGAUAAGCCUUGGAAACGGGGUCUAAUACCGGAUAAAGGGGGAUGGGCUCGCGGCCUAUCAGCUUGUUGGUGGGGUGAUGGCCUACCAAGGCGGUGACGGGUAGCCGGCCUGAGAGGGUGACCGGCCACUUUGGCGCUGAGAUACCGCCCAGAGUCCUAUGAGGGGCAGCACUGUGGGACGUUGAGCCAUGGGCGAAGGCCUCAUUCUACGACGCCGGGUGGGGGAUGAAGGCCUUGGGGUUGUAACCCUCUUGCGCUAUCGAACAGGUAGGUGGAGAAGAAGCGCCGGCUAACUACGUGCCAGCAGCCGCGGUAAUAC